GUAGCGCAAUGGAUAGCGCGUAGGACUUUUAAUCCAAAGGAAUUGGUUUCAAAUCCCACCUUUCU